UCCAUCUGAUCAUGAAGUUCACUUCCUGAUACAGGGGCAUAGGAGACAGGAGAUGGAGCUAUGGAUUGAUGACUCUCUCCAUUGUUAAUCCAGCGGACAUUAAAGACCAUUGGCAGCUUGAGUUCCAGAUGUUUGCCUUGAGCUGCCCGUCGUCAGGCAGCAGGAUUGUAUUCGACACUUGCUUCACAUUUCAAACCAGCAAGUCUGAGCUUGUGGGACAAAGUCCAAUAUGUGUACAAAAGCAGAGUAACCUACAGACAAAGAUGAAACCCCAGAUGGAGGUUCCAGUUAUGGCCAGUACAAAGACUGCUACAUCCAGGCAGAAGUAGG